rnacentral:rRNA from 1 species
GCUGUGAUGGGGAGAAGACAUUGUGUCUUCGAGUCGUUGAUUUCACACUGCCGAGAAAAGCCUCUAGAUAGAAAAUAGGUGCCCGUACCGCAAACCGACACAGGUAGUCAAGAUGAGAAUUCUAAGGUGAGCGAGCGAACUCUCGUUAAGGAACUCGGCAAAAUGACCCCGUAACUUCGGGAGAAGGGGUGCUCUUUAGGGUUAACGCCCAGAAGAGCCGCAGUGAAUAGGCCCAAGCGACUGUUUAUCAAAAACACAGGUCUCUGCUAAACCGUAAGGUGAUGUAUAGGGGCUGACGCCUGCCCGGUGCUGGAAGGUUAAGAGGAGUGGUUAGCUUCUGCGAAGCUACGAAUCGAAGCCCCAGUAAACGGCGGCCGUAACUAUAACGGUCCUAAGGUAGCGAAAUUCCUUGUCGGGUAAGUUCCGACCCGCACGAAAGGCGUAACGAUUUGGGCACUGUCUCAACGAGAGACUCGGUGA